rnacentral:rRNA from 1 species
CGGGGGGAGCAAGCGUUGUUCGGAUUUACUGGGCGUAAAGGGCGCGUAGGCGGCACCGCAAGUCGACUGUGAAAUCUCCGGGCUUAACUCGGAAAGGUCAGCCGAUACUGCGGGGCUAGAGUGCAGAAGGGGCAACUGGAAUUCUCGGUGUAGCGGUGAAAUGCGUAGAUAUCGAGAGGAACACCUGCGGCGAAGGCGGGUUGCUGGGCUGACACUGACGCUGAUGCGCGAAAGCUAGGGGAGCGAACGGGAUUAGAUACCCCGGUAGUCCUAGCCUUAAACGAUGAAUGCUUGGUGUCUGGGGUUUUAUAGUCCCCGGGUGCCGCAGCUAACGCGUUAAGCAUCCCGCCUGGGGAGUACGGUCGCAAGACUG